GAUGAUGAAGAGGGAUGGCCCCUUCUUCAGGGAUUGAUUGCCGGGAUGAUGGCUGCAGAGACAGGUCUAGAAACAGGUUCACAGAUCCCCUGAAAGUUAUCCAUGGACCUCCUUGGAGUUCUGUAGGACCUCAAGUUAAGAAACCCUGAUUUAGGGAGAAAAUAUACAUAUCAGCUUUAAAUCACCUCUCUACUCUGGAACUAAGCCAAUUUCAGCCACAACUGACUGCUGGUCAGGAAAAGGACUGUGUCUCUGAUUUCGAGGGAGAUCGUGCCUAAUCCCAUGAUCCUAGGUGACAGGUAAGUUAUGCUAACCCUCUUCUUGGUGCUGGCCAGCAGUUCACCCGGGACUAGUGGUCCUUUCCAUAAGCUUAACUGUUCCUGGAUCCUCUGGGAAUUCCACAAAC